ensembl:lncRNA
CAGAAUGCUAGACCUGGUAUCGCUAGGUAUCGGAUUGAAAAUAAUCCAGUGUUUCCUGGUAACCGUUUCCAAUGAAGCGCAAGUGCGUGACGUCGCAGCAGCGCGGCAGAUGCACGCGGACUGGAAUUAACGUUAACUGUCCGAGCGCGCGAGAGACCGACAGACAAUCCCGGGCAGGAAGAAUGCUCUGAAUACACGGACUUUCCCCCCUAUGGCGAUGGAAAAACGUUUCGUAUAGCCUGCUCGGGAGAAGAAGAAGAAGAAGGAAAAAAAAGAAAAAAAAACAACCCAUAUGCAUCCUGUUGACCUUGGGCUGUUGUGCAUUGUAAACAUAUGGUUUCAGGUCUGUUUAUGUUUACUGAAGAGUUAUACUGUAUAUCUACUUAAUAAUGCAUCACAGCACUAUCCUCAAUAUUGUGAAUGGGCUGUGUAACAAAUCAGUACGUGAAUCUGAUUAGUCCACAUUAAUCUGUGUUUGCAUUUCAAAUCAAUCCAGAGGAAAAGAAAAGAACACCGAACUGUGUUAUAGCAAGGAUUCAUGUACACCUAAUGUGCAUUACUGUUUUCUACAGGUGCAUUUUGUAGGUAUGCAGUUACAUACCUACAAAACAGUUAUCUGUUGCUAUGCACAGUUUCUCAGCUCCCCUAGUGCAAAUUGGACAGAGGUACAUAGGCAUGUAUAAUAAGAAUACUCUGCUGAUCUGAGAAGGGUCCACACAGUUAUAUCAUGGAGUCAUGGGUGUUUUUCAUCAUUGCACAUCAAAUGCAAAAUGAGCACUAUGAUUUUUUUAUGGAAAUUCUGUCACCAUAAGAGUUAGGAGUCAAAAGAUUGUCCAACCCCGAACGCAUUUAAGUCGAUUUCCAAUCGUUAGAUGUAAAUGGGUCAAGUAAAUUCCACGAACGCAAUGUAUGGCUUACUUAAGAGUUCUACAGAAUAAUACUUCGUAGUCAUGCUUAUAUUUAAUAAAUUAGUCUUAUUAGCAUCCACGUAUAUAUUUCUAUGCAAGUUUGGGGAUAUUGUAUAAAAAAGGCUGGAUGGAAACACCAGAUGUGAAUAAAAUCUCCAAAAUAUGCAUAAAAAAACCUAAGAGCUCAAUUGAUA